GACGAACGCUGGCGGCGCGCUUAACACAUGCAAGUCGAACGGAAAGGCCUGCUUUCCCUUCUGGAUUUCGGUUACGCGAGUGUCGAACGGGUGAGGAACACGUGAGUGAUCUGCGCGCAACUUGGGUAUAAGCGUGGGAAACUACGUCAUAUUCCCGGAAGUUGUACAGGGUGGUGCCUACGGUUGCAAACGAUUUUCUAGUGGAUGGGGAUGAGCUCGCGGUGUAUCAGCUUGUUGGUGGGGUAAUGGAUCACAAAGGCAACGACAGGUAGCCGGCCGGAGAGGGUGGUCGGCCACACUGGGACUGAGACACGGGCCAGACUCCUACGGGAGGCAGCAGUAGGGAAUCUUCGGCAAUGGACGGAAGUCUGACCGAGCAACGCCGCGUGAGUGAAGAAGGUUUUCGGAUCGUAAAGCGCUGUUGUAAGAGAAGAACGAGGGUGAGAGUGGAAAGUUCACACUGUGACGGUAGCUUACCAGAAAGGGACGGCUAACUACGUG
rnacentral:rRNA from 1 species